AAAAAGAAAGAAAAAAUAAAC
rnacentral:sRNA from 1 species